CGUACACUCCUACGGGAGGCAGCAGUGGGGAAUAUUGCACAAUGGGCGCAAGCCUGAUGCAGCCAUGCCGCGUGUAUGAAGAAGGCCUUCGGGUUGUAAAGUACUUUCAGCGGGGAGGAAGGCGAUAAGGUUAAUAACCUUGUCGAUUGACGUUACCCGCAGAAGAAGCACCGGCUAACUCCGUGCCAGCAGCCGCGGUAAUACGGAGGGUGCAAGCGUUAAUCGGAAUUACUGGGCGUAAAGCGCACGCAGGCGGUCUGUCAAGUCGGAUGUGAAAUCCCCGGGCUCAACCUGGGAACUGCAUUCGAAACUGGCAGGCUAGAGUCUUGUAGAGGGGGGUAGAAUUCCAGGUGUAGCGGUGAAAUGCGUAGAGAUCUGGAGGAAUACCGGUGGCGAAGGCGGCCCCCUGGACAAAGACUGACGCUCAGGUGCGAAAGCGUGGGGAGCAAACAGGAUUAGAAACCCCUGUAGUCCCAUG
rnacentral:rRNA from 1 species